rnacentral:lncRNA from 1 species
GCUCAAUUCACUACCAGGUUCUGUAGCUGCAUCUCUCUGUGUGUGCUCGGGUGGGGUGGGGACAGAGGUCAUCACUGCGGCAGUGUGGAGCACCCACCCCCAGAAGAGCAAGGCCAAGCAUGCGUGGUGAACUUGGCCUCGAGAAUGGAGACACACUGGGAAAGCGAGGGUUAACUUUUCCAGGCCUGGGACAGCCCGCCUCCUUGUGGAAGAGACCCUGGGCUGGCAGGGUGGGACCAUCUUUGUUCAGCCCCCUGGGUCUAGACAAAGUGGGUCAUUUGGGAUACCUCUGAAUGCCUGGCGUGUUCCACUCAGGUCACUCUGGCUGCUGUGAGGAAACUAAAUUGAAGGGGACAAGACUGGACGGCGAGGGACCAGCUGGGAAGCUCUUGAGAAAUGGUGUGGGGGAACCUGUGACUAUGAUGAGCUGUCACUCCCAUGGUUCCGCUACCUUCCACGGCAAAAAGGAUUUAUCAACUGACUGAGUUC